rnacentral:rRNA from 1 species
AUUGCCCUAGUAACGGCGAGUGAAGCGGCAACAGCUCAAAUUUGAAAUCUGGCUCUUUCAGGGUCCGAGUUGUAAUUUGCAGAGGGUGCUUUGGUGUUGGCGGCGGUCUAAGUUCCUUGGAACAGGACAUCGCAGAGGGUGAGAAUCCCGUAUGUGGUCGCCUGCCUUCGCCGUGUAAAGCCCCUUCGACGAGUCGAGUUGUUUGGGAAUGCAGCUCUAAAUGGGAGGUAAAUUUCUUCUAAAGCUAAAUACCGGCCAGAGACCGAUAGCGCACAAGUAGAGUGAUCGAAAGAUGAAAAGCACUUUGGAAAGAGAGUCAAACAGCACGUGAAAUUGUUAAAAGGGAAGCGCUUGCAGCCAGACUUGCCUGUAGUUGCUCGCCUGGGCUUUUGCCCGGGUUACUCUUCUGCAGGCAGGCCAGCAUCAGUUUGGGCGGUCGGAUAAAGGUCCCUGACACGUAUCUCCCUUCGGGGUUAACAUAUAGGGGGGACGUAAUGCGACCAGCCCGGACUGAGGUCCGCGCAUCUGCUAGGAUGCUGGCGUAAUGGCUGUAAGCGGCCCGUCUUGAAACACGGACCAAGGAGUCUAACAUCUAUGCGAGUGUUUGGGUGUCAAGCCCGAGCGCGUAAUGAAAGUGAACGGAGGUGGGAACCCCUCGGGGCGCACCAUCGACCGAUCCUGAUGUCUUCGGAUGGAUUUGAGUAAGAGCAUAGCUGUUGGGACCCGAAAGAUGGUGAACUAUGCUUGAAUAGGGUGAAGCCAGAGGAAACUCUGGUGGAGGCUCGCAGCGGUUCUGACGUGCAAAUCGAUCGUCAAAUUUGGGCAUAGGGGCGAAAGACUAAUCGAACUAUCUAGUAGCUGGUUCCUGCGA